AGCGAACGCUGGCGGCAGGCCUAACACAUGCAAGUCGAACGAACUCUUCGGAGUUAGUGGCGGACGGGUGAGUAACACGUGGGAACGUGCCUUUUGGUUCGGAAUAACUCAGGGAAACUUGUGCUAAUACCGAAUGUGCCCUUCGGGGGAAAGAUUUAUCGCUAUUAGAGCGGCCCGCGUCUGAUUAGCUAGUUGGUGAGGUAACGGCUCACCAAGGCGACGAUCAGUAGCUGGUCUGAGAGGAUGACCAGCCACACUGGGACUGAGACACGGCCCAGACUCCUACGGGAGGCAGCAGUGGGGAAUCUUGCGCAAUGGGCGAAAGCCUGACGCAGCCAUGCCGCGUGAAUGAUGAAGGUCUUAGGAUUGUAAAAUUCUUUCACCGGGGACGAUAAUGACGGUACCCGGAGAAGAAGCCCCGGCUAACUUCGUG
rnacentral:rRNA from 1 species